rnacentral:rRNA from 1 species
UUUACAACUCCCAAACCCCUGUGAACAUACCACUUGUUGCCUCGGCGGAUCAGCCCGCUCCCGGUAAAACGGGACGGCCCGCCAGAGGACCCCUAAACUCUGUUUCUAUAUGUAACUUCUGAGUAAAACCAUAAAUAAAUCAAAACUUUCAACAACGGAUCUCUUGGUUCUGGCAUCGAUGAAGAACGCAGCAAAAUGCGAUAAGUAAUGUGAAUUGCAGAAUUCAGUGAAUCAUCGAAUCUUUGAACGCACAUUGCGCCCGCCAGUAUUCUGGCGGGCAUGCCUGUUCGAGCGUCAUUUCAACCCUCAAGCACAGCUUGGUGUUGGGACUCGCGUUAAUUCGCGUUCCUCAAAUUGAUUGGCGGUCACGUCGAGCUUCCAUAGCGUAGUAGUAAAACCCUCGUUACUGGUAAUCGUCGCGGCCACGCCGUUAAACCCCAACUUCUGAAUGUUGACCUCGGAUCAGGUAGGAAUACCCGCUGAACUUAAGCAUAUCAAUAAGCGGAGGAAAAGAAACCAACAGGGAUUGCCCUAGUAACGGCGAGUGAAGCGGCAACAGCUCAAAUUUGAAAUCUGGCUCUCGGGCCCGAGUUGUAAUUUGUAGAGGAUACUUUUGAUGCGGUGCCUUCCGAGUUCCCUGGAACGGGACGCCAUAGAGGGUGAGAGCCCCGUCUGGUUGGAUGCCAAAUCUCUGUAAAGUUCCUUCAACGAGUCGAGUAGUUUGGGAAUGCUGCUCUAAAUGGGAGGUAUAUGUCUUCUAAAGCUAAAUACCGGCCAGAGACCGAUAGCGCACAAGUAGAGUGAUCGAAAGAUGAAAAGCACUUUGAAAAGAGAGUUAAAAAGUACGUGAAAUUGUUGAAAGGGAAGCGUUUAUGACCAGACUUGGGCUUGGUUAAUCAUCUGGGGUUCUCCCCAGUGCACUUUUCCAGUCCAGGCCAGCAUCAGUUUUCCCCGGGGGAUAAAGGCGGCGGGAAUGUGGCUCUCUUCGGGGAGUGUUAUAGCCCACCGUGUAAUACCCUGGGGGGGACUGAGGUUCGCGCAUCUGCAAGGAUGCUGGCGUAAU